UUUCUUUUUGAAUUUAUAAAAAGUAUGCCCUGCUCGGUGCUCUAAGGGGUAAACAGCGGCCUUAGCGUGAGGGUCCAAAGGUAGCGUAAUAGAUUGCCCUUUUAUUGGGGGCUUGUAUGAAAGGGUUAACGUGGGAACGGCUGUAAUAUAAGUAGAAAUUGAAGUUAACUUGGUAGUGAAAAGGCUUUCAUUUUUAAGAAGGACGACAAGACCCUAGAAGCUUUAUAUUUGUGUUAUAAUGUUUAUAACGUAAAAAUUUUGUUGGGGCAACAGGGGGAAGAUAUCUCAUCUAUUUGUGUUAUAUAUUAUUUUAGUUAAUAUUACUUACUAGUUGGAGCCGUUAAUUAGCGAGUAUGAUUGAGUUACUCUAGGGAUAACAGCGUAAUUUCUUUGGCGAGUUCUUAUCUAUAAAGAAGAUUGCGACCUCGAUGUUGGCUUAAGGUAUCCUUUAGGUGCAGGCGCUUAAAAAGGUUGGUCUGUUCGCCCAUUAAAACCUUA
rnacentral:rRNA from 1 species